rnacentral:lncRNA from 1 species
CAGUGGGGGUGUAAGUGAUCCCAGCCCUUCUAUUUGCUUCCUCUCCAGCAUUUCCCCCGUUUCCCGAGGGGCAUCCAGCCGUGUUGCCUGGGGAGGACCCACCCCCCUAUUCACCCUUAACUAGCCCGGACAGUGGGAGUGCCCCUAUGAUCACCUGCCGAGUCUGCCAAUCUCUCAUCAACGUGGAAGGCAAGAUGCAUCAGCAUGUAGUCAAAUGUGGUGUCUGCAAUGAAGCCACCCCAAUCAAGAAUGCACCCCCAGGGAAAAAAUAUGUUCG